ensembl:snoRNA
GCCUAGUGGUUCCUAGAGACAGCUGGACUGUGCUGAUCUGUGGGUUUUGAUUGACUGGCAAAUAUUAAUCUCUGCGAUUUAUGCAUGGGAGCUACCACUCCAAGUAACUUCUAUAGCCCGGUUGUUGAGACAUUC